AGGACGAACGCUGGCGGCGUGCCUCAUACAUGCAAGUGGAGCGACGAACCAGGAUUUAUCCUGGGGCAAAGCCGCGAACGGGUGAGUAACACGUGGGUUACCUGCCCCGAUGAUUGGGACAACCCGAGGAAAACUCGGGCUAAUACCAAAUGUGUUCUUGGUCGUGAUGACCAAGAAGAAAGGAAGCCUCGGCCUCCGCAUCGGGAUGGGCCCGCGGCCCAUUAGCUAGUUGGUGGGGUAAUGGCCUACCAAGGCGACGAUGGGUAGCUGGUCUGAGAGGACGAUCAGCCACACUGGGACUGAGACACGGCCCAGACUCCUACGGGAGGCAGCAGUAGGGAAUCUUGCGCAAUGCGCGAAAGCGUGACGCAGCAACGCCGCGUGGGGGAUGAAGGCCUUCGGGUUGUAAACCCCUUUCACCAGGAGCGAAUUCAGACGGUACCUGGGAAGAAGCGCCGGCUAACUACGUGCCAGCAGCCGC
rnacentral:rRNA from 1 species